ensembl:lncRNA
AUUUGGAAAGCGCUAACGUUACAGAGCUCCUUGAUCUGCAGCUCCUCCACUCGCCGCUCCUACAGACUCUAACAGAGUCCAUGCUGAGUGGGUUUAAUGCAUCGCUGCUGACAUGUGGAGCCUCCACAGAGAUGGUCCAGGCCCUAAACAACCACAGUCUUCUGAGAAAGAUCCUGAUAAAUAUUUUUAGCUGUAUGACAUCACACGAGAUGGACGACUUUUUUGUCUCCGUGUCAUUUCUUCAGGUACAUCCUUCUGUAAUGGCAUGGCCACAAACAAUCACAUUAGUCUUUACAGCAUGGUCUGCAUUUUUUUUUUUUUCCAAUUCCAGUUUUUUCCGGAUGGGAGCACAGUUGAUCUCUUCAGCCACAAUAACCAGACCUUGGAGCCUCUGAAACACCCAGUCCUUGGAAGUUUUGUGGGAGGUUUAAGCGAGGUGAGCGUACGCUCAAUAGAAGAGGCGUAUUCUCUGUAUGAAACAUGCACGGAGGCGAUGAAAACUAACUCAGACGCUGCUGCCAUCUGCUGCAGCUCAAUGUUCUCUGUGGUGCUGGAGCGGAAACUCCAUCCGGAGCAGGAGAAGUCGGAGGAGUCGGAUGUCUGCCGCAGCAGACUGCAGCUGUUCCACCUGGCAGGAGGAGCCAGCAGGACUGACCUCAGAGGAGUGAACCCACUGGUGAAGGCCCUGGACCAAAUCCAAUCUGCUGAAACAGCCGACGAUAACCUCCUACUUUUCCUCCUUAAAGAGGCUUUAACAGGAAAUAACCGAACCUUUCUAAUUUACUACAUUAAUCCAGCAGGUCUUCUGGACGAUGAAACCCCCGCUGCUUUGGAUUUGGCGCAGAAAACCAGCAGACUGGUAACUAAAAGCACCAUGGGACGCUGGAGUCCUAAAGCAGCUGAGCGGGAGAUUCGUGAGCAGAUCUUUGAUCUCCAAAGCACGAUUCUGUCACGGGGAGAGGGUGAAGUUUCCAACAUUUACAAGCUGGCUGAGCUGACUCAAAUCCUACAGGCGGUUAAAAAUCAAUCAUGGAAAAAAAGGAAAGAGGAAUCCGAGAGGAUUAAAGUCCAAAUCAAGUGCUGUAACUCCUCAAAUCAGUUGCUGUCUAGAGGUCAUCCCACUGACCACACAGAGAUCACACAAACAAUGAGACUUCUUCAGGACAAGCUGAGACAGGAAAUGGAGGAACAUAUCAAAGAUGGGAAAGGAAGCAUAGAGGAGAUCCAGGAGAGAGUGACGAGAAUGAAGCAGCUGAAGGAGACUCUCAGAGAGGAGACACUGAGGAGGGAAGCAGCAGGAGCAAAAACUCACCUUUCUGCACAAUCUCAGUUGGAAUACAACGAAGCGCAGCAGCGGAGGAGGCAACUUAAGGAGGAUCAUGGGAGAUUAAUUCAGGAGGAGGUGGAGAAGAUGGAGAGAGACUUGGCACAAGAGCAACUACCGCAGGAGAGUCCUAAAAGAGAGCUGCAGGUUCUGAGCAGGGAGAGGCAGGUUCUGGUGCUGCAGAUAGAGGCCCUGCAUACUGAGGCCCAGCAGGCUGAGAGAGACCUGGAGGAUCAACAUGACCGACACCAGACAGAGCUGCAGUGUCUGAAGGAAGAGAGCCUGCAGGUGUUUCGAGUGUACCGUCAGGUGUGUGAGGAGCAGAGGAAGCUUUCAGAGAGCAGGUACAGAGGUGUGCUGCUAGAAGCCGUGCAGGACGCAGUUUAUUUGUCUGCUCAAAACCAACAGUUGCAAGCUGACAACCAACACCUCCGUAAAGCCCUAGGAGAGAUAAAAGAUGCUUUAGCUGUGAGAGGAGAUCCUGUAAUUCAUGAAACUUCUCAGCAGCAAUGACUGAUGUUCUCUGUUGAAUCUGCUGGUCUGAUGACGCUGAAUAAAUAAACUCUUGAC